UACGGAGGGGGCUAGCGUUGUUCGGAAUUACUGGGCGUAAAGGGCGCGUAGGCGGUUCGUUAAGUCCUGUGUGAAAUCCCCCGGCUCAACUGGGGAACUGCACAGGAAACUAGCGGGCUUGAGUUCGGGAGAGGGAAGCGGAAUGGACGGUGUAGCGGUGAAAUGCUUAGAGAUCGGGAGGAACAUCAGUGGCGAAGGCGGCCAUCUGGGACAACACUGACGCUGAAGCACGAAAGCGUGGGGAGCAAACAGG
rnacentral:rRNA from 1 species